rnacentral:rRNA from 1 species
GAUGAACGCUGGCGGCGUGCCUAAUACAUGCAAGUCGAGCGAACGGACGAGAAGCUUGCUUCUCUGAUGUUGGCGGCGGACGGGUGAGUAACACGUGGAUAACCUACCUAUAAGACUGGGAUAACUUCGGGAAACCGGAGCUAAUACCGGAUAAUAUUUUGAACCGCCUGGUUCAAAAGUGAAAGACGGUCUUGCUGUCACUUAUAGAUGGAUCCGCGCUGCAUUAGCUAGUUGGUAAGGUAACGGCUUACCAAGGCAACGAUGCAUAGCCGACCUGAGAGGGUGAUAGGCCACCCUGGAACUGAGACACGGUCCAGACUCCUACGGGAGGCAGCAGUAGGGAAUCUUCCGCAAUGGGCGAAAGCCUGACGGAGCAACGCCGCGUGAGUGAUGAAGGUCUUCGGAUCGUAAAACUCUGUUAUUAGGGAAGAACAUAUGUGUAAGUAACUGUGCACAUCUUGACGGUACCUAAUCAGAAAGCCACGGCUAACUACGUG